UGGGGAAUUUUGGACAAUGGGCGCAAGCCUGAUCCAGCCAUUCCGCGUGCAGGAUGGAGGCCCUCGGGUUGUAAACUGCUUUUGUACGGAACGAAACGGCGCCGGCUAAUACCUGGCGCUAAUGACGGUACCGUAAGAAUAAGCACCGGCUAACUACGUGCCAGCAGCCGCGGUAAUACGUAGGGUGCGAGCGUUAAUCGGAAUUACUGGGCGUAAAGCGUGCGCAGGCGGUGAUGUAAGACAGGUGUGAAAUCCCCGGGCUUAACCUGGGAACUGCAUUUGUGACUGCAUCGCUGGAGUGCGGCAGAGGGGGAUGGAAUUCCGCGUGUAGCAGUGAAAUGCGUAGAUAUGCGGAGGAACACCGAUGGCGAAGGCAAUCCCCUGGGCCUGCACUGACGCUCAUGCACGAAAGCGUGGGGAGCAAACAGGAUUAGAUACCCCAGUAGUCCCUGAGCGGGCUGGCAAGGCGCAU
rnacentral:rRNA from 1 species